rnacentral:rRNA from 1 species
CAUUCACGGAGAGUUUGAUCCUGGCUCAGGACGAACGCUGGCGGCGUGCUUAACACAUGCAAGUCGAACGAUGAAGCCCUUCGGGGUGAAUUAGUGGCGAACGGGUGAGUAACACGUGGGCAAUCUGCCCUUCACUCUGGGACAAGCCCUGGAAACGGGGUCUAAUACCGGAUAACACUCCCGCACUCCUGUG